rnacentral:tRNA from 1 species
GCCCUCAUCGUCUAGCGGCCCAGGACAUCUCCCUUUCAAGGAGGCAACGGGGAUUCGAUCUCCCCUGGGGGUA